rnacentral:lncRNA from 1 species
AUGUUAUAAACAUAUAAUAUAUAAAAGAAUUUAUAUAUAUAAUGUUUAUCCCGCGCAAGGCGCGGAUCUUAACCUAGUUCAAAGUAAAAAAGACAAAAAUAGAAAAUAAAUAAUAAAAAAAUUACAUUUUUCAUGACAUUUCAAUUGUGAAAUAAAUACAUGAUUUUUUUUUUGAUAAACCAUAAAUACACGAUUUGUAAAUUUAUAAACACCUACUACAAACAAAAGAUUUAUUUUUUUUGUUUUCUUGAUAUAUAUAAACAAGAGAUAUAAUGUUAUUUUACCAAAUAAAUGUAGAAUUUUUUUUUUCCAGAAAGUUAUGAAUUUAAAGCAAAACUCAACCAUACUUCCAAUAAUGAU